UACGUAGGCAGCGAGCGUUGUUCGGAGUUACUGGGCGUAAAGGGUGCGUAGGCGGUUGUUUAAGUUUGGUGUGAAAUCUCCCGGCUCAACUGGGGGGGUGCGCAGAAUACUGAAUGACUAGAGUGCGGGAGAGGAUAGUGGAAUUCCUGGUGUAGCGGUGAAAUGCGUAGAUAUCAGGAGGAACACCGGUGGUGUAGACGGCUAUCUGGACCGUAACUGACGCUGAGGCACGAAAGCGUGGGUAGCAAACAGG
rnacentral:rRNA from 1 species